GAGGAGGAAGGUGCAAAGUGGUGGGAGGCUGCGGGUCUCCCGGAGGGUGAGGCGUUGGGGACCAGGCGGGAGCACAGCCGAACCCCUACCUUUCGGGCGGGGCGGACACCAGCCGCGCGCCCUCGCCGGGCGCCGGGACCGGAAAAUCACCGCGAAGGGAGGGACGAGGAAAGGCGGCGGGUGGCUUCAGGACAAGCUGUGAGAUAUCGGUGGGCGAGGAUGUGAUGCCUGAAGAUGUGGCAUCUACCUUGAAACAGUCAAGGACCUGAGGAUGAAGCCAGCAUCUGAGGAAGACAGACAGAAAGGAUCUGGAUACAUCAUGAGCCUGAAAAGUAUCUUGCAUACACAACUGGCAGCACAGAAUCCUGACAAACCUCUCAUCAGAAAUCAACCACAGACUCUUUAUGCUCUUACCAAAAUGCUGGCUUUGAGAACUAAUUAUGAAUGAAAAUUACUGAUGUGAUUUUCAGUCUAGGGAAGAAUAUCAAGUUAAACUUUAUGAAGUCCAAGACAAUGGGAAAAGAAGAGGUGUUCCUGUCCAGGCCCUCUUCCAGUUAGAAGGUUGAUUCUGUUAUACAAGUACAGAAUAACUGCAGUACAAAACAGCAAUCAAGUCUGAACAGGAAAUCUCUGGACAAAGAGAAAAAUACUAUCAUUGAAAUAAGGGACAAGGGAUUAUGGCAAUAUUAAAUAAUGGCACUGAUUAGUGAAAUGAUUCUAGGGGGAAGUGUCAAAAGAUUUUCUAAAGAACAUGUACUGAGCAGAUGAUCGCUGACUGCAUAAUUGCCCUUUCUGGGUAGGUGUGUAAGACACACACACGCACACACACGUUUGGGAGAAUUGUGACCAUCGGGUUCCAUAGUAACAAGAUAAGUUAUAAUAGCCACCUUUCAUUGAGCACCUACAAUAUGUCACAAACUGUGAUAGGGACUUUAUGUAUUUCAAUACACUAUCUGUUAUCUAUUUUCCUUUUUUUUUGGAGACGGAGUUUCACUCUUGUUGCCCAGGCUGGAGUGUGAUCUCGGCUGGUGCUAUCUCGGCUCAUGGCAACUUCUACUUCCCGGGUUCAAGUGAUACUCCUGUCUCAGCCUCCCGAGUAGCUGGGAUUACAGGCAUGCACUACCACGCCUGGCUAAUUUUGUAUUUUUAGUAGAGACGGGGUUUCUCCUUGUUGGUCAGGCUGGUCUCAAACUCCCGACCUCAGGUGAUCUGCCAGCCUCGGCCUCCUGAAGUCCUGGGAUUACAGGCGUGAUCCAUCUCACCCGGCCUUGUUACCUAUUUUCUAUUGGUAACUGAGGUAAAACCUAUUGGAGGCUUAGCAGUAGGUUCAUGUGUUCAUACAUUUUGGGGAAUGUAAGAGAGUAUCAGGGCAAUUGAUUAUUGCCUUUGUGGGUUGAAAGCAGCAACACAGGAAUAGAUUGCUGAUAUGAAGAGUGAGAUGACCUGUAGAGUAAGCAAUCUAACCAUUAACAUCAACUCAACUUGGGCAAUAAAAUUUGAUAUUUUACUUAUGGGACAAAUAUUUAUUGAGUGUCCAGUUUGUGUCAGGUACUAAAUACGUAAGCUUUACUAAUCCCACUUCUAGAAGAAUGAUUUCUUUUUCUUUUUGAAAUAACACUUCAGCAGAGCACCACAUUGUUUCAGACUUAAGUUUCCUUUUCCAUUUUGUCGACACCAACAGUGUUCUUAUAAUAUUAACUCACCAACAUUUAGUCUAUAAUAUGAUUGCCAGGGAUGUGGCAAUAUGUCCUUGGGAGCUUCAAGCCAUAUAUAUCUGGUCCAUCUUUUGGAAAGUUCAUGACAUAGAUGGGCAAGGAUACAAUUUAUACUCAGGAGAUGCAGCCACCCUAACAGAGUUACAAAUGAAUGUUAAAUGACAUAAACUAUGCGUAGUGCAAGCACGGAAGCAUCUCUUUGGUCUGAGGGAUAUUUGCAGGGACCUUGAAUAGGCAGAGAGAGGGGGACAUGUGGUCUAAGCCUCUGAGUUGGGAGAGGACAAUGAUGGGCAUGGGGGAGAAUGUAUAUGCUGUUUGACUUGAGAGGAUGACAUGUAGGCAUUAUGGUAGUCUUUUUCUUGACAUCUGAUACACAAUCACUUCUUUCUUUUCUCCAUGAAAUCUAGCCACAAAGAUGAGUUGCUCAAAUGUCAAGGUCUACCCCUCUUUAAAGCCUCCAUGAUUUGCACUCUCUGCAGCCUUGGCCAGGAUUGUCCUUAUCUUGCCCUGUCGCUGAUGGGUUAUUUACUACUCAUCUUUCAAGGGCCGGGUAGAAUUUUACCUAUUCUGAGACACCUUCAAGCAGAAUGAGUCUUUCCUUUGCUGUGCUCCCAUGACACAAUGCUCAUCUUCAAUAAAUAAUUAUAUUUUUUGUACCUUCAGUGUAUCAUGUUCAUCUUUGCAUCCCCAGUUUCCUCAAGAAUCCUGGCAUGAAAGAAUAUGCUUGUUGAGUGAAUAAAUUGGCUGAUUCUAAUGUUCAUAAGGCAAAGUUCACCUGUCCUAAUUGCUGAUUCAAUUCCAAUUUGACAGUGUCUUACAGAUUCUGGGUAAAUUGGGAUACUUCCCUUUGUCCUAACAUUGGAAAACCUUGGAGAAAAGUAUUGUUAUUUUCUACAUCAAGUACUUUAUCUGAGACAUGGGCAGCUAAAUAAAAAAUUGACACCU
rnacentral:lncRNA from 10 species